CAAUAGCGUAUAUUAAAGUUGUUGCAGUUAAAAAGCUCGUAGUUGGAUUUGUGGUUCGUCCCGCCGGCUGGGUCAUUGACUUUUGCUGUGCUGGUCGUCCAUCCUUGGGUGGAAUCUGUGUGGCAUUAGGUUGUCGCGCAGGGGAUGCCCAUCGUUUACUGUGAAAAAAUUAGAGUGUUCAAAGCAGGCUUAUGCCGUUGAAUAUAUUAGCAUGGAAUAAUGAUAUAGGACCUUGGUACUAUUUCGUUGGUUUGCGCACUGAGGUAAUGAUUAAUAGGGACAGUUGGGGGUAUUCGUAUUCCAUUGUAAGAGGUGAAAUUCUUGGAUUUUUGGAAGACGAACUACUGCGAAAGCAUUUACCAAGGAUGUUUUCAUUA
rnacentral:rRNA from 1 species